CAAGUAGGGGUGGACAAAAUUUGGUGGAUGAAAAAGCUCAAGGAAAAUGAAGAGUAAAGAAAGAAAAGGUGGAAAGUUUGUGGACACUUUCAUAACACUCUUCACCAACAACAGAACUCUUAAAACCCCAAAAAUUCAAGGGCUCUCUCUCUUCUCUCUCAAUUUGGCGCAUUUCUACUGUGUCGUAUUUGCUGGUCUUUCUUUGGGGUUGGAGGGAUGAUGACCGGUGAUAGCAGUCUUUAAGGAUCCAGAAACCGUCAACCAUGAGCAGUUUACCACUGAGCUAGGUCUAAGAGAGAAUUAUGGUCCUCUAAAUCUCUUGGAAAAUCGGUUUGAAUGAGCUCCUUCAACAAUUAUAUCUCAGUUUGACCUAUGACUAGGUGUAAGGCUGCAAAAAAUGGUGUUAAUAACAGGAUGGUGACCAAGAACAUUCGAAGUCCAGUUUUGGAUUAUGUUAUGCAGGACACUUUUGAAGGUUGACAAAACAGAAAGAAAGUCAUCACAUCUUCAAGUGAGGAGUAUGAUGUAUGAGUAGUAGUACACAUUGGAUGAAAUGUGAAUCCAAAAGCUUUGGUGGAAAGAGCAAGUAACUGUCUCUGGUGGGAGGUGGCAGGCGUCUCAUGAAAUUAGUCGAGGUGCAUGCAAGCUGGCCCAGACACCACGGUUAUCCAAAAAAAAGGAUGAUGUGGACCUCCUUUACUUGAUUGUCAAGAAGAGUUGUUUCUUCUGGGGUUUGCUUCCGAAAGGGUCUUAGACCUCAGCUUGGAAAAAACAUGGUUUAGGUAAUUGAUCUACGCGAGACCUUCCAUUGAUCUAGGGAGCAGGAUCAACUCCUUCUAUGCCCCAGGAAAAAGCUAAAAGUAAAGCAAUCAUCAAGCCAGAGCUAGUUUCACAGCUACCGAUUUGCACACGCGGGUCAAAGAAUCAAGAAAAAGUCAAUUUUCAUUCUUGUUCUUGUUAAUCCAUCAAUUAUCAUCCACCGAAUAUUGAAAUCGGCGGACAAAGCAUGUGCUUGAGAUUGAAAAUUCAUGUUCAAUUUUAGAUAUUUUUAUUUAAAUUGUGGUCUUGUGAAAAUCAAAUA